AUGAACGCUGGCGGCGUGCCUCAUACAUGCAAGUCGAGCGAACGGACGAGAAGCUUGCUUCUCCGAUGUUAGCGGCGGACGGGUGAGUAACACGUGGAUAACCUACCUAUAAGACUGGGAUAACUUCGGGAAACCGGAGCUAAUACCGGAUGAUAUUUUGAACCGCAUGGUUCAAAAGUGAAAGACGGUCUUGCUGUCACUUAUAGAUGGAUCCGCGCUGCAUUAGCUAGUUGGUAAGGUAACGGCUUACCAAGGCAACGAUGCAUAGCCGACCUGAGAGGGUGAUCGGCCACACUGGAACUGAGACACGGUCCAGACUCCUACGGGAGGCAGCAGUAGGGAAUCUUCCGCAAUGGGCGAAAGCCUGACGGAGCAACGCCGCGUGAGUGAUGAAGGUCUUCGGAUCGUAAAACUCUGUUAUUAGGGAAGAACAUAUGUGUAAGUAACUGUGCACAUCUUGACGGUACCUAAUCAGAAAGCCACGGCUAACUACGUG
rnacentral:rRNA from 1 species